rnacentral:rRNA from 1 species
GACGAACGCUGGCGGCGUGCCUAAUACAUGCAAGUCGAACGAAGCUUUUUCAACUGGUGCUUGCACCGACUUAAACAACUGAGUGGCGAACGGGUGAGUAACACGUGGGUAACCUGCCCCAAAGCGGGGGAUAACAUUUGGAAACAGAUGCUAAUACCGCAUAACCACAGAAACCACAUGGUUUCUGUGUCAAAGAUGGUUUCGGCUAUCACUUUGGGAUGGACCCGCGGCGUAUUAGCUAGUUGGUAAGGUAAUGGCUUACCAAGGCAAUGAUACGUAGCCGAACUGAGAGGUUGAUCGGCCACAUUGGGACUGAGACACGGCCCAAACUCCUACGGGAGGCAGCAGUAGGGAAUCUUCCACAAUGGACGAAAGUCUGAUGGAGCAACGCCGCGUGAGUGAAGAAGGUUUUCGGAUCGUAAAACUCUGUUGUCAGAGAAGAACGUGUGCGAGAGUAACUGUUCGUGCAAUGACGGUAUCUGGCCAGAAAGCCACGGCUAACUACGUGCCAGCCGCCGCUGUAA